UCCCACCCACCGUUCUCCCCUCCUCCGCCUCCCUCGCCGGCGCGGGCGAAUCCCCACCGGCCACCGCCUCCGCCGCCGGCGAAGCGGCCUCUCCCUGGAGCUGGAGGAUGGCUGCUGCUCCAACGCGCCUCAGGUAUCAGCUCGUGUAAGUCGCCUGCUCCCUCGCGCCGUGCAAAAAUCCAUCCAUCGAUGGGAGCUCUGCUCAUCCGACCAAAACUGUAGGAAAUUGACCACAUUCAUAGCCCGAUUUUCCUAGGUGAAGGAGAAUUACUGCUUAGUAGGAGACCUAGAAGUUCAGUGUGUAGCAGGUUUUAUUUUUGGUGAAGAAUGAUGAGAAGUAGUGAGAGGCGAUGCAUUACCGCAUGACGCAUUGACCGAUGAAUGAUUACCUAUAGCUCUUUCCAUGGCUGCAUCCCUCAUGAUUUGAGAUUAGCAUGAUGGAAUCAUUGGUUCAUACAUACAAAUGCUUGACUCAAUAUGGAACCACCCACUUUACCUUGACAGAAGUAUGUGGUUUUCACUGAUGUACAUGGUGAUAGACUCAGUUCUUUGAGUUCUCUGAGUCAUGACGCUCAGACAUAAUUAAUUUUGCAAUUAACUAUACACUUCUUCCUUGAGGACUGAUCUAGGUAUGAAAAUAUAAAAUGGAAUAUGUUGAUGGCCCUGGGUGGGAACAUAAAGAUAGGGUGUCAAUAUAAUUUGCUUGGCUGCAUGUGAACUUGAAUCGUGACAACAGCUUUGUGAUGCUUCAACUGAAAGCCAAACAAGGAUAUAUACAAAACUAAUAUAAGUGUGAUAUGAAUUAGCCAGCUACAGACUUCUCAAUUUAAGAAUAAGUUAUAUACAUAAUAUGAAUCUCAGACCUCAUUCAUUGCUGGAAAUACUUCAUUUGUUUGGUUCCAUCUUUUUAAUCCUCAUCUCCAUAAUAUCCAAUAUCCUCAUCCCAUUGCACCUCAUCCUUCACCAUUUCAUGUUCUGACAGUCUAUACAUUUCAAGUAUAGGAUGGUUGGGAAGAAGGUAGGCUGUAUUUCUAAUUGAAGCCUCAGCAGCCUCGACUUCCCAAGCGCUCGCACCUCUGCAAUGAAUGCUCACACGGAGAUGCUUGAGGGAGGUAAGUUGCUUGAUACCGAAAUCAAAACCAACACCAUAUGCAGAUAUUGCAUCAUGUGCACAAUAUCGGAAUUCAAGCCGUUGGAGCUUUGGUGUUGCUCCUUCUUCAAACAUCAGGCCCAGUCCAUCUUUUUUAUUUUUUCUAAACAUCAAACCAAGCUCACAAUUCAAUGGAUAAAAAUAGAACACCUUUAAAGAUCGGAAUCCAGAGCGACUAAUGACAAGUGUUUCUUGUGGGGAUUCCUCAAGGUAAAGUUUAAGACAUAGCAACGCAGGCAUGUUUUGUAACACCUGCAUAUCUUCCACUCCAAGUUGUUUUAUGUUGAUGUCUAACCAGGUGAGCUCAGACAGGGAAGACAUCCAAAUAGGAAGCCUACGAAAAUAAAAGUGAGAAACCAUUCGAAACAUUUCAAGAUGACGUGGAGGAGGAUACCAUGAAUCAACCAAGAAGUCUAGUAAAAGACUGUAGCCAUGUGUUAUGUGAAUGGAUCGGAGGUUGUGCUCUCCUAUCUUGCAGAGUGAUGAGAUAAUUGAUUUUGUGUAUCUUCCCUCGUUGUGAAUUUCACCAUUAGGAUGCCAAUAUAUAGAAAAUACCUUCAGAUUUGUUAAAUCACCUAACUCGACAACAGCAUCCAUGGAGUUCUUGCUCCCAUCAAGCACCACUAGCUCCUCAAGGGAUUUCAUGUUGCUGAUCCCUUUUGGCAUUUUUACACCAAAGCGUCCCAGUAGAAGGCGAACCAAUUGCUGGAGUUGAGUUAUAGUCUCUGGCAAUUCUUUUAUUCGGGUCCCUCUGAGGUCGAGUGUUUGCAAAAGUUGUAGAUUCCCAAUUUGUGCUGGGAGCCUGGUAAUAUGGCUGUUUCGAAGACUUAGAUACCUUAACUGAAAUAAACUUCCAAUAUUCUCAAUGUCACCAUCCUUCAAACUAGAACAAUCCUCUAGAUCUAGAACUCGUAAAACCUGUAGGUCAAAGAGAGGGGGCAUCUGCUUCAGAUCACCGAAGACAUUAAGUGACCGAACCUGAGAAAAUCUGUUGGUUCCAAGCCAUAUAUUUGCUUUUUCGCAGCUUGUUUGGAGGGAAAGACGCCUAACCUUGUUACACGAAGGCAUGGACUUCUGGUCAUCAAUUAUAGUAACAAAGUUCUCUUCAAUUGACAAGCAUAUAAUGAGAUCUAGCAUGAUAUCAUGCACUCGGCAAGCCUUUGCUCUACCAUUAUAGUCAAUGUCCACUGGUUGCACCAUAUUUCUAUUGACCAGCUCGUUGAAGUAUUUUUCUCCUACCUCUUCCAGAUUCACUCCUUGUUGUUCAGUAAUCAAUCCUUCAGCUAUCCACCUCCAUAUCAAACGCUCUCUCUUGAUUUCAUGAUCCUCUGGAAAUACACUUAUAUGCAAUAAACAGAGCUUCAGUUGAUGAGGUAGGUCAUAAUAACUUAGAAACAAUAUCCUCUUUACUGUUUCUAGAUCUUGGUUUUGCUUGAGCAUGCAGCCAAUAGAAUUCCAUACUUUUUUCCACUCUUGUUUGGUAACUGGUUUGGUUGAUAAUAGGCUAGCUAUAUUGAUUAUGGCCAAUGGUAAACCACUACAUUUUCUUAGUAUUUCAUCAGUAAUCUCUUUGAGCUCUGUAGGGUGAGUGUCCUCGUUUCCAAAAAUCCUUUUCAAAAAUAAUUUUCUUGAAUCAGCACUACUAAGAGGUUUAAUAUCAUAAACAUAAUCUUCAUGUUUAAAGCAGCAACAUUGAGCAACAUCUUGAAUGCGAGUGGUUGUCAUUAUCCUGCUCGCAGUGUUGUUAUAUGGAAAAGCGCAUUGGAUAAUUUCCCAUGCUGAUUUACUCCAUAUAUCAUCAAUUACUAUGAAGUACCUAUAUGCAAAACAUGAAAGGUGAAUCUGUUACUGUGUCGGUAUGAUUAAAGCUGCAUAGGUUACCAUGCUAAAAAUUCACAUCUGACUAUGUGAGUAGGCAACAGUAUAGCAUGUUUUGUUCCAACCUUCAUGCACGUGGAUCAAAUAUAUUGUGAUGGUUUCGGCUUUUCGCUUGUUCAUCCUAUAGUUCUACAAAAGUUGACUUGGAAACGUAGCCUAUACCCAGCUCAAACCAAAGUGUUUGCACGCAUUAGUGUAUAUACUAUGGAUUCAUACAUUUGAUCCUAGUGAUAUACUCUAAAUAUAUCAAAUACUUGCAUACCUGUUAGUUUUUAAAUAUUCUUUAAUCAUGUUGAUGAGUUGAUGAUCUUCCAGUGGUUGAUUAAGAUUUUCCUUGAUCCUCCAGAAGUGAUUCUUCUGAUAAUCUGACAUCGGGUUGCUUGCAUAAAGAACUUCUGAAAGUAUGUCUCUCAAGAUCUUAUUGAUAUUAGGAUUCCGUGAUACAGAUACAAAAGCUGUGCAAUCAAAUUGGCAUUUUAUCUUUUGGUAGACCUGACAGGCAAGUGUUGUUUUUCCUAAGCCUCCAAAUCCAACAAUUGAGACAACCUUGAGAUUUUGUGCAUAACCAUUGUCCUUGGUAAGCCACUCGGCAAGUUCAUCCCUUGGGCCAUCGAUUCCCACUAAUCUCUCUGCUUCCUCAAAGAGUGCUGGUAACCGGGGGUCAAUGUCCACUGCCUUAGAAGUAAGAGUGGCUGAAUCAAGCUUUAGCCUCUUGCGUCGGUCAUUUACCUCCGCAGCACGUUCCUUCAAUGCAAUAAUCUGCUUAGCAGUGUGGUUGUAUACUUUCAGCGUCCUGAGCCAACCAACAAUCUUGUUAAUGAUCCCAUCACAAGCAUUUCCAUGGUCAAUACUAUACAAAAAAAUAUCAAUGCAGUCCUCAAUGUCAUAGGAUAGCUCCUGCAGCUGAUGCUUCCACAGAUUCACCUGUGAGUUACAGUCCUCCAACUGUGAUAAGUCCUCAAGUGCAGCCUUCAUGCUGAUCAACUCAUCUCUCAGGGAUGUGAUGCCGGCUUGAACACCUCUGAGCUUGUUGUACUCCCUCCCAAGUAGGAUGGACAGCUUGCCAAGGAGGGAGUUUGUCACCCCAAUCAAAGCGACGACUGUUACUCCUAUCAUGUUUGCUUUUCUGUGUGCCUCUUCACUGACUAUGGUUUGCUGGAAUGUGCAGGGAUUCUCGAUGACAUGGGAGACUAGAGAAUAGAGCUGUACUUCAGCUUGUUGGUGUUGAAGACAUUUGUGUACUGCUUCCAGUCAUAUUACUCAGUGGGGUAUAUUUGAGAAUUCUGUGACACAGUCCGAGCUCCAAUUGUUAGGCACCAAGAUGACCGGCUACUCAUUUUCUGUAGUCAAUGUUUAUGCGCCAUUCUUCUCCAUGGAGCAUUGCAUCAGAAAUUCUCAUCAACGCGUGAAGUUCUUGACUAGACAGAUAGACAGUUUCAAGUUGGACCACAUGUUUAUUCUUUGAACCAUGCUUAUAUGGCACAGCACAAAGUCAGCCUCAACCCUAUUUUGUCU
rnacentral:lncRNA from 1 species